rnacentral:rRNA from 1 species
AUUGAACGCUGGCGGCAUGCUUUACACAUGCAAGUCGAACGGUAACAGGCCGCAAGGUGCUGACGAGUGGCGAACGGGUGAGUAAUGCAUCGGAACGUGCCCAGUCGUGGGGGAUAACGCAGCGAAAGCUGCGCUAAUACCGCAUACGAUCUCUGGAUGAAAGCGGGGGACCGAAAGGCCUCGCGCGAUUGGAGCGGCCGAUGUCAGAUUAGGUAGUUGGUGGGGUAAAGGCUCACCAAGCCAACGAUCUGUAGCUGGUCUGAGAGGACGACCAGCCACACUGGGACUGAGACACGGCCCAGACUCCUACGGGAGGCAGCAGUGGGGAAUUUUGGACAAUGGGCGCAAGCCUGAUCCAGCAAUGCCGCGUGCAGGAAGGAGGCCUUCGGGUUGUAAACUGCUUUUGUACGGAACGAAAAGGUCUGGGUUAAUACCCUGGGCACAUGACGGUACCGUAAGAAUAAGCACCGGCUAACUACGUGCCAGCAGCCGCGGUAA